rnacentral:rRNA from 1 species
GAGUUUGUUCUGGCUCAGGAUGAACGCUAGCGGCAGGCCUAACACAUGCAAGUCGAGGGGUAGAGUGCUUCGGCACUUGAGACCGGCGUACGGGUGCGUAACGCGUGUACAAUCUACCUUUUGCUAAGGGAUAGCCCGAAGAAAUUUGGAUUAAUACCUUAUAGUAUUAUUUGGUGGCAUCAUUGAAUAAUUAAAGCUACGGUGGCAAAAGAUGAGUACGCGUCCCAUUAGCUAGUUGGAGUGGUAACGGCACACCAAGGCUACGAUGGGUAGGGGUUCUGAGAGGGAUGUCCCCCACACUGGUACUGAGACACGGACCAGACUCCUACGGGAGGCAGCAGUGAGGAAUAUCGGACAAUGGUCGGAAGACUGAUCCAGCCAUGCCGCGUGCAGGAUGACGGCCUUAUGGGUUGUAAACUGCUUUUGUAUGGGAAGAAUAAGGUCUACGUGUAGAUUGAUGACG